rnacentral:tRNA from 1 species
GGAUUGUGGCUUAGUGGUAGAGUGCUCAACUAGCAUGGAUGGGGCCUGAGUUCGAUCCUCAGCACCA